UACAGAGGUCUCAAGCGUUGUUCGGAUUCAUUGGGCGUAAAGGGUGUGUAGGUGGCGCGCUAAGUCGGGUGUGAAAUUUCGGAGCUUAACUCCGAAACUGCAUUCGAUACUGGCGUGCUUGAGGACUGGAGAGGAGACUGGAAUUCACGGUGUAGCGGUGAAAUGCGUAGAUAUCGUAAGGAAGACCAGUGGCGAAGGCGGGUCUCUGGACAGUUCCUGACGCUGAGGCACGAAGGCCAGGGGAGCAAACGGG
rnacentral:rRNA from 1 species